rnacentral:lncRNA from 1 species
UAAACUUUUCCUCUCUUUUCUUUCACUCCCCCCUCGCAAACGAUCGGCAAAUCAUGUCCUUUUGCCGAACCACCAAAGAUUGCCCCCCAAACCACCUCUAAAUCUCCCCAAAAGCCGCAACUUUUUUCUCACCCUCUCCCCAGCGAACUGUAAGUCCUUCCUCUUUGCCGACCCACUGAAGAUCGCAUCCUAAACAAACUCUAAAUCUUCCCAAACUGCUACAACUUUACCUUACCCUUUCGUCGGUGAUCUGCAAAUGGCCCCCCCAAAAACCUCUAAAUCUCUCCAAAAGUCGAG